rnacentral:rRNA from 1 species
AUAGUAACCUUUCGAAUCGCAUGACUUUACGUCGGCGAUGGUUCAUUCAAAUUUCUGCCCUAUCAAGUUUCGAUGGUAGGAUAGAGGCCUACCAUGCUUUUUACGGGUAACGGCGAAUUAGGGUUCGAUUCCGGAGAGGGAGCCUGAGAAACGGCUACCACAUCUAAGGAAGGCAGCAGGCGCGCAAAUUACCCAAUCCUGAUUCAGGGAGGUAGUGACAAUAAAUAACAAUCCAGGACUUCGGUCUUGGAAUUGGAAUGAGAACAAUUUAAAUCUCUUAUCGAGGAACAAUUGGAGGGCAAGUCUGGUGCCAGCAGCCGCGGUAAUUCCAGCUCCAAUAGCGUAUAUUAAAGUUGUUGCAGUUAAAUAGCUCGUAGUUGAAUCUUGGGGCUGGUUUGGCGGUCGCGUCUUUGACGUGUACUGUCGGCCGGUUCUUUUACUUGUGGGGAAUGUAUGUGCCCUUUGCGGGGUGUGUACGGGAACCAUGGCUGUUAACUUUGAAAAAAAUUAAGAGUGUAUAAAAGCGGGCGUAAGCUUGUAUACAUUAGCAUGGGAAUAAUAGAAAUAAGGACUUUGGAUUAAAAUAAGAAGGAAACUAGGGCCGAAAGUAAUGCAUUAAUAGGGAUAAG